UCCAUGGAAGCCCAAAGGUAAAACAGUGGCCCCUUUUCUCAAAUGUCUCACAUAACAGUACCCUCCCCCAAAUAUAAGAUGAGGCAAAUUUGGAGUCAAUGGUGGCAGACUUUCAAUUUGGAUUCCGAGUCGAAAAUCAGCGAUCAACAACGUUAUUGAUUGGCAAUUAAAGGCUUCAACGACAAGACACUUCUGCUCCCGGGAAAAUUUACGGACAGUUCAUGACUUUGCAGAAAUGUGGAACUAAACAAGUGAUGGUGACACGCAAGUGGAGAUUAUGUUGUUCAAGAUGAGUGGGUUAAAAAGGAAAGGAUUGGAGCGUUUGAAAAAAGCUUUUAUGGUGUUCCAGUUUUUCAGGUACCCUCUCUCAACCUGGUAUAUCCAAUUAUCUGUGGCACCUCUCUUAGACCAAAAAAAACUAUUUAUCUUUAACUUCCUUUCUUUGCCUUUAUCUCCCAAUUAUUUAGUUGUUUGAUCUUCCAAGUUAUUGUUUAUUUAUUGUGCAAUUAGAGAGAGUAAUGAAAAGUUAUAACUGUGUUAAUUUUUUAACGGGGUCCUAAAGAGAUGUACAUAAUAACUCAUUACAAUUAAUUGCUUAGAACUUCUGGCUUCUCAUUCUAUAGUGCAGAGUAUCGUCAAAAGUAUAAUAAAGAACACCACCAGCACUCUUAACCUCGAUAGCCUAUGCAUCCCUUAACCGAUUCUAGGUAAUUUUUACUUGAUUAUUAGACUGUUUUUGCUAUUUCUUUUACCCUUCAAAGCUUAAAUUUGUUUCACCUUGGCAAUAUUUCUUUUGAGAGCAAUACUUGGACAUAUCGUGGAAGGAGAUGCGCUUUCUUUAAAAAAAAAUUUCAAUGUUUUGUGUUAACUAACUAAUUAUAUUCUUUAUUUUGUGACAAAUUAUUGGAACUUAUAUGUAUGUAUGAUCUGAGGAUUUUAAGGAUGUUGCAGGAACUAUUUUAGAGGGAAAAGCAAUCGAAAAUCUAUAAGCAUCCAUUAUAUUCUCGCUUUCUUCUCAUAAAGUUGGGUUCACAGUCUCUUGUUCGUGUAUAUGUAUGAGAUCUUUUUUUUGAUUCAAGUUACAUAUAUGUAUGCCAUUUGGGUACACAAAGGUAUUAUGCAGUUAAAUUUUUAUUUUCAAUCUACAAUUUAAAUGGAUUUGGUA